UCUGACCAGGUGCUUAUUGGAGACACUUCUGCUUUCUAUGGUAGAAACAAAAAAAAAAUGUCCCAGAAAGGUUAGCAGCAGAGAAAGGCCAUGGUGUUGGGGAGAAGGAAGAAGGGGCCUCUUCUAUCAUUCUGGGCCCUGGAGGAGCUGCACCGGGGGAAUAUAGCCCAGCCCAGCCCAGCCCAGCCCAGAUGCUGGCUCAGCCACUUUGCUGGAACAAAGACUCAGCCUGAGGUCACAGUGUGGCUUCCAGGAGCCACACCCUUCACAGUCAUCCCAGCAGGACCUGCCAUGGGUUGGGGGUGGGGAGCUCUGCACAAAUCCCUCCUCUUUCUCAGCUGUGGCUGCCCUGUCUGCAGACCCCUCCAGAAAAGUAGCUGUUUGGGCCAGCUUUCUUCCCACCCUCAGCUCUGAGCUCACCCUUCCUCUCCAUCCUCCACAACUGCAGCCCCCCUGGAGCCUCAUGGCUGCCCCAGCACCUCCAUGGGAGAUGGCUGAAGGACAACUCAUUAGUCAGAGUCAAGAUCUUUGGAAAGGAAUCAGAGGCUGGAGAGGAGGAGGAACCAGAAGCUCCAAGCGGCAGAAUGACUUGCCCAAGGUUAGACAGCCAGCCUGACAUGCACUAGAGAUUGCUUUCCUGUCCCCAGGCACCUCCUCCAAGCAGCCACCUGGGACCUACAGGCUGAAAACGGGAUAACUGUGAGUUGCUGGUGCACUGACUUGGUUGGUAACUCAUGGGAAUGAAACGCUGGUGUGAGCACGACUGUGCCCAGUGGUGUUGCUCCUCCGGGGACAGGGAAGUGGGGCUGGGGGGGAGGAUGUUGGUGUGGGGGAAGCAAUCUAUCUCCUGGGGAUGCUGGGGAUGCUGCUCUCCCAAAACAUGUUGGAGAAUUUAGUUAUCAAGAAAUACCUAUUAUUUAUUGACCAUAUACUUUAUUAUCCAAAUCAGGACACUUACAAGAUUGAAAAGGAAGCUGUUAAUAAUUAUUCCAAAGCUGGCCUGGGAAAAUCAUGACAUGGGCACAUUAUUUAUUGAACACUUACUAUGUGGCAGGAUGAAUACUGGAUAGUUCACAUGUACCAUCACUUUCUCUCCUCACGGUGACCCAUGAAAAGCUACAGCAGCCACCCUAGCCUCUUCCCUGUUUCUCUGUCAAGCCUGAGUUUUCACCACUGGAGUCUCUGCCUUGGGCUAAGGGCUUAACAUGUCACCUCUUCCAAGAGGCCUUCCCUGGCCACCCUGAAGUCUAAAGUACUUCCCAGCACCACACAAUGGCUCCGGCCUUGGGUUUCUGCUGCCAGUUAGAGGAAGAAACCUCUGCUGGCAAGCAACAGAAUAAGCCAACAGGUACUCCCAUUACUCCCUCUGGAGCUACUCCUCAGCUUCCCAGGCUCUCAUAGUGUGCAAACAGACAGAAGCCAUCCUGUACCCCACUUUAUCAAAGAGGAGUCUGAGAAGAGGAGUGACUUAGCCAAGAUCACACAGCAAGUGUGUGGAGGCCUUUUGAUCUGAAGCUUCUGAUCUUUGCCCCUGUCAUUGAGGAGACCCCAGCCCAGGGAGAGGACAUGGGGUGGCACACUGAGCCUCCACCCAGCCUGGAAGACCCUAGCUGCCUGCUGUGCCUGUAUUCACAGCCCCCUCUCCUGACUGAAGGGGUCUGCUCCAGCUGCCACGGGCUCCUGGGAAAUUAAACCUCUCAUCCCCGA